rnacentral:ncRNA from 1 species
UGGACUUUGCAAAAAAGUAAACACAUCCUAGACGCAAGCGUCGUCGGCUGGUUUCCUAUUUUUGCUAUGUCCG